UCUUUAUUAAAUUUUCGUUUUUUUUUAUAACUACACAGAAAUGAAUAACAUACGGAAUAAUUAAAACGACUGUACAAACACGCGAAAACAAUUUCAAUUUUGCGUUGCUAUAUUCAUAUUCAUAAGCGCAACAUGACGGGACGCAUUCACGCAUCGCGAAGUCUGGAAUGAAGUUGCGCGCGGAACCUCCGCCCCCGUUGCUCUCAUGAUGGCUCUCGCGUUCAAGCGCGUGCACGUUUCCAAAACUUAAGUGUCUGGAUCAAGAAUGAAAUGUAAGUGACAUGAAAUUAAACGUUUACGGAGGGACAGGGUUAAAAAAAAAAAGUCUUUGGCAGUUGGUUUUAAUGAUCGUUUUCUUCUCUCAUUUAUUGAGGAUAACUUUUUGAAUGUCGCCUUAGGCAAACUUGGCCCGAUUCAGCCGGGUCCCCCGUAUCGCGCCGCCAACUUCAACCCGCGACCUAUUUGCGGAUAGCUUCGAGUCACGAGACAUGUGUCUCUAGAAUAAAUUAAAAAUGGAAAUGAAAAAUAAAAAUAGAUAGGAAAGAAAGAAAGAAAGAAAGAUACGAAGCGGAAGGUGAGUUAUCGGUUAGGAGGCGAGUCUCGAAGGCCUCUAUUCAAUCGCCGCAGACGAAUUACGCAGAACCAUUCCCUCACGCUGCAGACGAUUCGUCCUUUACGCCGAACACAAUACAUUCUUCAACACGAUUAUGCAUCGUAUGAUACUUCGACGGAGGGAAUUUACACUUUGGCGGAAAUAAAGAAUCGGCGUAUAAGUCUAAUGCAAUCAGUGGCGUACAUCAGAAAGACACGCUCUUUGCUGCGACGAUAGGAACGACCUUAAAGAACAGCAUCGUCCAAGCAUGAGGGAGAAGCUUUUUCGGGCGCGACCGGGGAAUAUUUGCAAGAUUACGUGAGAGCGGUAGUUUACAUUCCUUUCUUUCUCUCUCUCUCUCUCUCUCUUCGUCUCUCGCUGUGUAAACGUCGGCUAUUAUUUCUCUAAAUCCUUACAAGCUAGAAUUAUUAUGUACAGCAUUGUGGACACGAUUUCCGACUUUCACUUAUUGUUAAUCGGCCAUUCCUCCUAGGAGCACGAUUAGCACACGGGCUUGCUCGUCUCAUCGGCGCAUCGCACGAUAUAUGAUAAUCAACGAAAGGGAGGAAACUUUCCUCCCUUUCUCUUGACGACAAUCGUUCGGACGUUACUUUAUGAUUUUGGACAAGAGCCAUUGUGAAGAGCAUGUGGAUGUCGACUAAUUAGAUUGUUGCACUAAUUAAUAUUGAUUGAAAAUAUAUCCACGUUUCCCUUUUUCAAUUUUAAAGCAAAGAAAGAUUCAUAGGAAUGUAAGAGUUGGCUUAUUUGCAAUUUCUGAUUCUGUAACGAAUCAGAAAAAACUCCCACUAGGAUAAUCACUUGAUUACGUACUGCCUCUUUUACACACAAGAUUGUAAAUACGUAAAAAAGAAUAUUGUUUUUACUAAGCUCUAUUCAACGGCUCUCAUUGUCCCUCGCAAUAUAAUUGCGCUAAUUACAUGUGCAGGCGAAAAACGCCUACCUUGUGUACAGUUGAAAAAUGAAAUUUUUAAUGAAAGAAGACUGUCCCUCCACAUAAAUAAAUUUGCAAACGCAGUAGCCAAUUAAAAAUGAUCGAUAGUAUCAUUCAUGGUUUCUGAUUGACUGCUGCGUUUGCGUUUGCAAAUAACGUUUUACGAUUAUGAUGACUCGUGUAAAAAGGUUUUUAAACGAAAUUUAAUUUUGUUUUUUCUCUUUUGUUCUCUAUCUUCCUUUUCUUCUUUCAGUUUCUCCUUUUUUCAACUACAAGGCUUGAUUAUUACAUCAAAAAUGCACAUCGACGUGAUAAAAUAGACAGGCCACGCCAUUCUCUCUUUCUUUUUCUUCUACAAUAAGAAUUAAAAAUAUUCCUGCCGUAUCGUGAGAGAAUGUGCAGCAUCGAAAUUUUAUCGCGCCGGAUAAUUCGAUCGCAGUUCAAUCGUAUGAAUACAUAACGUCGAAAAACAUUUUCACAACAAUAUAAUGUGAUCUCUGUAACUACAUUAUAUGAUCGUCGUUAGAUUUGUUAUACACACGCGUAUACGAUGUCGACACACGCACGUUACAAAAAAAAAGAAAUGGGAGACGUGUCAUUGCGCAUACAUAAAUCUCGUUUUCGCAAUAGAGCGAUACGAAUAUCCUAAUAACAAGAUUAAUCCAAUUUACUAAUCCAAUAUCUCUGCGCCUCUCUCUCUCUCUCACACACACACACAUACGCGCGCGCGCGCGCGCACACACACACACAGUUUUUCGCAGUACAAAUUCCGUUAAUUGCUGACUACUUUCUAUAGCGAGAGAUACGACACUUCUCUUUCUUAUUUUUCUCUUAUUCCGUUAUCAUUGGACGAGACAAAAACAUGCAAUUCGUAAUUCAUACUUAACACUUGUGGCAUAAUUGAUACUUAAUUCAAGCUUAACUUAAGCUGAUCAUUAUUUCUUAAAAAAAA